rnacentral:tRNA from 1 species
GGAGAGAUGCGAGAGCGGUUGAAUCGGGCGGUCUCGAAAACCGUUGAACCCUCGCGGGUUCCGGGGGUUCGAAUCCCCCUCUCUCCG